GCAUCAUAGCAUUUAAGAAUUAAUCAAUAAACUACACUUCAAUCUCAUAUAAAAAACUAGCACAAUUAACCAGUGUUCUGCUGAAACUCUAGUUAAGCUAACACACACACAUUACCUUGAGCCAUUCAAAUUUCUCUCAUAACCAUUCCCACUGAAAGCUCUUGUAACUCCAUCCAAUGUUUUGUGUUCCCAGAUCUGAUGCUGACCAGCCAUUGCGAUGUAGACAAUUUCAUUCUCAGGUUCAAAGCAGACAUCCCAUGGAGAGUUG
rnacentral:misc_RNA from 1 species